rnacentral:lncRNA from 1 species
GCGUGAGGUUACAGUGGGCUGAGCUGCGGGAGCGCCGUGCUAAUGGGGCAGAAAGCAAUCAGGGGCUUUGGUAAUGGGGCUGAGGGGGGAAGGGGCGCUGACCCACGGGUGCCGUGUGCUCUCUCAGCCCUGUGAUGCUCCCCGUGCUCUGCGACAGCGUGGAGCCAAAGGAGGUUAUUGGGGCGGGAGGAAGCAUUUGUUCGACCCAUUUGUUCUUAUGGGGCUGCGUGCUGCAGGGGGUGCCGGCACAAUGGGGUGAGCACCUCGUGGUUGGGGUCCUCCCGGGGCGCCCCUAUCCUUGCGUGCAGUGAGAGGGGCUCUGUGCAAAGCCUCCGGUGUGGGUCUGAGUGCAGACGUGGGGGUGGGAGGAGGAUGGGCAGCUCGGAAAGCAUUGCACGGCAGCAGAGCCACGGGAGCUGUGUUAAUUCAAAGCAGAACAGAGUCUGGGGUGCUCAGAACUCGUGGAGAAGUGGAUCUGUGGCUCAGUGAUGGGCUCUAACUCAGUUAGCUCUGAUGCUGGUGUGCGGACUUAACCUCAUUUUAAAGCUCUUCCCAGCAGAUGCUCUGCUGUGCAGCAUGGGUGGUGCUCGCUCUGCUCCCCAGUUUGCCCAGCGCUGAGUGUGGGAUGUGGCACAGUGUCCUGGGGGUGAAAUGAGCACUGAGGUCAUGAAGACAGCUGCACACCCGAGAUCCCUACAAGAGGAUUUGCUUUGUCUCCAUUGUAAUGCCCUUAUGGCAUCCAUGGCAUGGAUAGGGCCAUGAAUCGACCUCUGCACUGCAUUCCAUUGCAUUGCUUUGCACUGGGUUGGGGUUGCACUGCAUUCUGUUGCAUUGCUUUGCACUGGGUUAGCAUUGGGGUUGCACUGCAGUCUGUUGCAUUGCUUUGCACUGGGUUAAGGUCAGGGUUGCACUGCAGCCUGUUGCAUUGCUUUGCACGGGGUUAGCGUUGGGAUUGCACUGCAGUCUGUUACAUUGCUUUGCACUGGGUUAAGGUCAGGGUUGGUGUUGCACUGCAUUCUGUUGCAUUGCUUUGCACUGGGUUAGGAUUGCAUUGCAGCCUGUUGCAUUGCUUUGCACUGGGUUAGGGCUGGAGUUUUGUUCUACUGCACUGCUUUGGGUUGCACUGAAUUGCAUUGCAUUGUAUUGCACAGGAGCUGCGGGAGCUGACUUUGGGGCAGAGAGCUGAGCCUCCUCCUUAGCAGUGAACCCACACCUCUGCCCAUGCACAAAGCUGAGGCAGCCACAGCUUUGGAUGGGAUCGCUCCGUUGCAAAGGGGAAGCGCUGCUCUGAGCUCUGCCUUAAUGCCUCUCUGUGCCAUUCCAGUGUGAGUUCAGCUCUGCUGCUCCCCAUGUCUGCAAUGUCUGCAGGGUCUUCCGUGCAUGCCGUGCUCCAAGCAUCAGAGUCACUGGGCAACGCCGUGCAGCAGCAGGGCGGGCUCUGCAAAGGGAAUUGCAUCUGAACAGCGUUGCAUCUGAAUAGCGCUGCACCUGCAGAGUGUUGCAUCUGAACAGCAUUGCAUCUGAACAGCACGGUACCUGCACAGUAUUGCAUCUGCACAGUGUUACAUCCAAACAGCGUUGCACCUGAGCAACACAGUGCCUGCACAGUGUUUGCAUCUGAACAGCACAGUAUCUGCACAGCGUUGCAUCUGAAUAGCAUUGCACCUGCACAGUGUUGCAUCUGAACAGCAUUGCACCUGCUCAGCAUUGCAUCUGAACAACACAGUACCUACACAGCGUUGCAUCUGAACAGAACAGCACCUGCAUAUCAUUGCAUCUGAACAGCAUUGCGACUGCGUGGCACUGCAUCUGAAUAGCACUGCGCCUGCACUGCUUUGCACCUGCACGGUGUUGCACCUGCACUGCUUUGCACCUGCACAGUAAUGGCAUUGCACUUGCACAGAAGGAGAGGGAGAGAAAGCAGCCCUGGGAUCGGGACCUGCUGCUCACAGGGCCCCGCAGGGCUGUGCCCUCACUGUUUGCCCACAUCCCACCGAAAUCCCACGGGAUCGAUGGGGGUCGGCCGGGUGCACCGCCCCGAGGCCAUGGGAUCGAUGAGGAGUGAAGGAAAUGCGGCCGAAGAUGCGCGGUUUUACAGCUUCCUCCCCAAGAACGGCCGUGCUUUAUGGACUGCUGGUAAUUGCCAAUUAAUUGCGCUGCAGCCGAGGGCAGGAAAGCAGCCCGCAUCCUCCAUACGGGGUGGGCAGGAUAUCAGAGUCCGAAGGUGUUACCACUCCUCCACUUAAUGAAGAAAAAUCACGAUGGAGGCGGCCGGAGGCAACGCAAUGGGAUUGCAGCGGGGAGGAGAGGACUGUGUUAACACCCAUUAAUAAUAAAUAACCGCCAUAAUGAGCUCUAAUUAAUUUGGUCACACGUUAGAGAUCGCUUCCUUCUUUUUUAAGCUUGUAGGUUUUUCUGUGCCGGAGCAUCCCUGCGCCCUGGCUGUUCCCAGCCCCUUCCAUUCAACGUGUGAUAGAUGGAUUGAUACGCAGCUUUAAUCAGUGUAAUAUAUAAAGCACUUAAUUUGCCUUAUUAAAAGUCUGCACUUUGGAUUUUCAGGCUUCAGGAAAUUAACUCAAGCACCUAACCAUUUAUUUGAUUGAGAGAGAGCAUAAAUAAUUCAUGGCUUUUGCUUUGCCUUGGGUGGAAGAGCUGUGGGGUGAUGGGGAACGUUCCCCAGCACAGGGACAUGGCAGCUCUGCUUGGGGACCGACAGAGCGCCGUGUAAGGUGUGCAAUGUGCAUCCCUGGAGCGUGCAAGGCCUGCAAGCCAGCCCUUAUGGUGCGCAGUGUGCAACCUCAGAGCUGUGCACUGCUGCCACUACGGCGUGGGAUGCGUGUGCUUGAGGCUGUGCUUUGCCGGCUGGUCCUGAUGGCGCAGGAUGUGCAUCCCUGGGACGUUCAACAGCACUCAGCCCUUGGAGUGAGGGAUGUGCAUCCCUGGGAUGUGCAUCAGCAUCCAGCCCUUAAGGUGUGGGAUGUGCAUCCCUGGGAUGUGCAUCAGCAUCCAGCCCUUACGGUGUGGGAUGUGCAUCCCUGCGAUGUGCAUCAGCAUCCAGCCCUUACGGUGUGGGAUGUGCAUCCCUGCAAUGUUCACCACCGCCCAGCUCUUACAGUGAGGCAUGUGCACCCCUGGGCCCGUGCUUCCCCACUCCACCUUUCUGGUGUGGGGCGUGCACCCUUUGGGACCGCGCUUAGCCAGGCUCUGGGGCGCACAGUGCUCCGCUCCCGAGUCCGGCGGUGCCGACCCCACAGCGCGGGCGCGCA